GCUUUUUAAGUUGACCGUUAAAAACAAAAGACAGUAGUCAUUUUCUCAUUUUGGUAUAUUGAUGCAAUAUCACAUUAGGGUCUUCAGUGCUGAAGUGUUUUGUUCCGCCAUGGGAUCGGCCAUGUCUUGGGUCAGAUCCAACACGAGGCCAGCAUCCCUCAGCUGCAGGCAGCUUUGGAGAAAACCGAUGAGAACGCCAUGGUCAGGCAUGAGUGUGCAGAGGCGCUGGGCUCCAUGCUCACAGAUCCUAGAGUGCUACAGGAAGGACCAGGAGCGGGUGGUGAAGGAGAGCUGCGAGGUGGCACUGGACAUGAUGGAGUAUGAGAACAGCUUACAGUUCCAGUAUGCAGACAGACUGUGAAGCGCUUAGUGAAACAAAUUUCCUAAAACAUGUUAAUGUUACACAACUGAUCCUUAUUUCAAAUUCAAGUUAAAGCAUUUUGAAUACUUGAAUAUUUAAUAAAAACUGUUUUUGCAGAUAAAGCAAACAAUGCCUCUCUUGAAAAAAAAAAAACAGGAAGACAUUUACAUAAUAAAAGCAUUUAUAUGACGAUAUACUUAUGACUUAUUCUGCCUGUAAGCUCUAACAUUUUGCGUCAUGACUAUUUGAGAUGUUUCUAAUCUUCAGUAAAGUCUGUGUGACUAAUGUUAAAUCCUCCAUGCAUGAGCAGAGGUGAUUAGCAGAGCUAAGAGCAGUAGUGCUUGUCUGAGAUCUAUAACAGUACAUUCUGCUUAACUAAUCCACACAGCAGUCUAUCUCAUUCAGUAAGAUUCAUCUUUAAAGAUGCACACAUGUAAUUAAAAUCCAAAUGCUGUAUUCCUUAAGUGUUCUUCCCUAGUUAGUAUAUCAGAAGUAUUGCUUUAAACAAACAGAAAUGAGAAGCAUUGCACACUGAUUAAUCUUGUGUAUCUAUUUAAUUAUUUUUAUGUCCGUAUAAUAUAAUAAAUUGGCAACCUUAAAUUUUCCUGUUAAAAGUACACAUGCACUGCUAAUUUACUGAUGACUGUGUGGAUGGAGGGUGACAAACCUGGAAUGUCGUGCUCAGCAAAGGCUCGGAGGAUUUUUAAGCCUCAUUUGAGUUUGGGGGGAGGAGAGACAACCACAUAAUGAAGAAAAGGCUGGACCUAAUGCAUCCCUGUAUUAAAAAAAAACACUAGACCCCAAACUUUUGAACGGUAGUAAAUAUUAGUGUAAUUUUUUUUACUCUAGAAAAAAAAAACACUGACCCAAACUUUUGAACGGUAGUAAAUAUUAGUGUAAUUUUUUUUACUUCAGAUUAUUAUUAUUUUAGAUUUAUUUUAAUUUUAGAUUAAGUAUUCCAUUAAGAAAAUAUUUUUUUUUUUUCUCAGAAUUAUUGUAAAUAAACCACAGGUUCCAUUGUGUCUGCUAUUAGGGAAUUUUGUCACAAAGGUCAACACGUGUUUAUUUUCCUAGACAUGUUCAAUAGCUUGUGUGUAGUCUAAACUGUAGUAAUCAACUACCCUGACCUGCUGGAAUAAAAAGUCUUGACAAGUAUCCCCUUAUAACUUUCAUAAUGCAACGGGCACAGAGAAAGGAUUAUAGAUCCGCAGGAGAUUAAUAAUAUAGAUCCGAUUUGACUCAUAUGAUCAAAUCUGUCUGAAUCACUGACUCAACCACAUAAAAGCUCUUCCUCUGUCAGUCAUUCAGUCAGACCCUGAGAGAGUUUGUGCAGCAUCAGCCUCUGGAAGGACAACACCACAGCUGAAAUUAGACAUGCAUCCCAUAUUGAUCGGCAUUGUGACAGCCAACACAAGUUUAACUAUUGUCUACUGGAACUUUCUUCUGUCUCAGGUUUUCGGCAAGAAGAUCAGAGAUGGAGAACCACCUGAGGAAAUUCCCAUCUGAGUAAGUAUUAACGUUAUGAGAGUCGUUGGAUGAUUACUCUUGCAAGAUUAUUUGCUGAAUCCUGCAAACAGUUUCAGCAACAAGUCUCAUUACUCUACUAUUUAUGUCUUAAAUUUUAUUUUAUUAGUUACUUUGACACUAAGGAAUUUUAUGACUAAAAUGAUCGAAGGUUGUAAGUUAAGGAAUUUGAGUUGAGGGGAAAGAGAAACAAAAGUCUUAAUGAAGAGAACAAACACUUUCCAUUUUUACAAAUCUCCAAAACUGCCAUUAAAAUACACUACCAUUCAAAACUUUGUUGUCAGUAAGUGUUUUAUUUAACAAGGCCACAUAAAAUUGAAAGUGACAGUAAAGACAUGUAUAUAUUUCUAUCUAUUCCAUAUAAUUGUUAUUUGAAACCUUCAAUUAAUCAAAGAAUCCAGAAUAUUAUUUUUUUUUUUUUUUUUUUUUUUUAAGAAACCUUCAAUUAAUCAAAGAAUCCAGAAUAUAUUUUUUUUUUUUUUAAAUAAGCACAACCAUAUUGAACACUGAUAAUGCAAAAUGUUUCUUGAGCACCAAAUCAGCAUUUUAUAAUGAUUUCUAAAAGGAUCAUGUGACACUGAAGACUGGAUUAAUGGCUAUAUUAAAACUACAUUUUAGAAAUAUAUAAAUAGUAAAUAUAUAAAUUGUAAUAAUAUUUCACAAUAUUACUGUUUUUACUGUAUUCCUGAUCAGGCUUUUUUGUGUAUCAUUCGUUCAAACUAGUCUUCAAUUGAUUUUUUUGCUCCACCCCCUGCUUUAGCUAAGAUGUUUUUUUAUCAGUCCAUUCUCAUAAACUGGAAAUAAAACCAACUGGAAUAAUUAUGGCACAGUAUACAUUUUCUGUUUUAGUAGGCCUAUACCCUAUAUUUGGUGUAUGAUGUCAUUCAAAACCCUUUAAAAACACACCCACUCCCUCUUGAAAGUGAACAGGAGCAUCUCAGACAGGAUUAGGUGGAUUACAGUAUACUGUAGCUAACCCUUAAUUAAAAGCUUUCACCUUCGUGAAAAACAGCUGCCAUUACCAGCAAUGGAAUAUCAGCGAGUCAGCGAGAUGUCAGCCAAAGGAUUAAACCUGGGAUUAAGAGAAUCAUAUCAGCCUACUUCAGAGCACAUUCACUGGCCUUUAGCUGGCCUUUAGCACAGAAUAAUGAACUCUGGUCAUAUUAAUUUAUAUAUCUCCAUUUGAAAAUGUUACAUUUCCUUUUACACACAGGUUGAGACUUUGGUCGUGACCCUGGUGAUGAAGAGAAAGAAGACGAACCACCAAAGCCCAUCUUUGGGAAGGAAGUAGGGAUGAGGGAGAGAAAAUAAGAACAAAGAAGGAACAGACUGCCAUUUGACCCAGAUGUGGACGGAUAGAAAUUCUGCCAGGAUUUAUAUCUUCUGUAUUUGACAAAUCAUGAGGUUAAAAAGGUGUCACUGAAUAGAUUAAUGAACAACCCUCUCUCUCUCAUCCAUUAGUCCAUCUAACCCAAAAAAAAAAAUAAAAAAAAUUCUCUUGUCAGUGCUGCUCAAAAAAAAAAAAAAAAACUUACUCUUUGUCAGUGCUGCUCGUAUCCACAUGUUCUAAGUUACCAAAAAUACAAAGCUUAUGUAUUUGAAGUCUGUAGGCAGAUGAUUUAUUUGUAAUUUCGUGUUUUUUCCCCCCACAAAAUAGCUACACGGGUUUUGUGAAAAUCUAUCUGUCUUACUCUUCUACAUGUGUCUCAUUCCCCUAAUAAUAAAUAAAUAUAACAUAGAGCACUGGGUUGUUUACAUGGCAUUUGUUAUCUUGUACUUUCUGAUUUGGAUUAGCAUGAUUAGCAUGCGUUGGCUCAGGUAAGAUAUUCAGCACCGAUAGAGGGUGCUGUGUGCUCAACAUAGAGGACAUACUUCUGUUCUCCUAAGUCAGUGAAAGCACAAACCUUAUUUAAGUUACAUGCAAUUUGUUCAACCUGUAGUGAUCCACAUGGCCUUGUGUUUGGGCUUGCAGAUGUGUCCAGUUGUUACAUAAAGAAGCUGCUGCUACAUGAUCUAACCAUUACAAAUACUUUGGUUGUAAUGAAUUCAGGGCAUUCAGGGAUUUAAAAUUUAGUCUGUUUUGAUUUCACAGAAAACUAGAUGUUUUAGAAAUUUAGGCCUGAACUGAAUACCAUGACAAAGUUAAAAAUGAGUUUUUGUUGACGUCAUUGGUUACGUUGCACUUUAAAAUACGCCAACAGGAGUUGAGAGGCAGACACCUAAUAGAAAAAGGCUAAAUACAGGCUCAAGGCCUCUCCUUACAACACUAAACAAAUGAGCUUGAUUGUCUUCUGCAGUCAAAGCAUCCGGUCUGAGGGAAGUCCUGUCACAGCUACUAAUGAAGAAACAGUCAUUCAGGGAAACCAUCAUUCUGUGACACACUUUGUUGUGAUUCUGUGAAUAUGCAGCAAAAACGAAGAAGUCUGAUUAGCAUUCAGUAUCAGAAAUAGAGAAAGGAGGCGGGCGAGACAGAAAGCUAAGAAAGAUGAUGGGUGUCUGUCAAUGAGGAAAAAAGCUUUGCGGGGUAUGUACAUAACAUUGUCUUAUUAUCUGACCAUAAACAUAGCUAACUUAUACUGACUUUCAGAUAUCAUGUCUCUAAACCUACCUCUAAUCAUUAGUUCAUGUCUAAUCUUAACCAACCUAAAAUAAUAAAUAAAGACAAACAUUCUAUAUAUAGGCAAGGCAAGACAAGUUUUUUUUAUAGCACAUUUCGUACACAAUGUUAAUUCAAAGUGCUUUACAUAAAAGAAAGUAAAAUAAUCAUGAAGAAAAAUAAUAAAAAAAACAAGCAAUUUUAAAACUUUGAAAUGAUUUUCAUAAAAUACAGUGAAUAUGUAAGAUACAGUGCAAUCAGUUCGGACAUUGCACAGUGCUCAUUCAAUAAAUGCACAGACUAAACAGAUGUAGUUUUUGCAAUUUGUUCAACCUGUAGUGAUCCACAUGGCCUUGUGUUUGGGCU
rnacentral:lncRNA from 1 species